GCCCCCAUAGCUCAGAUGGAUAGAGCACCGGCCUCCGGAGCCGGUUGCACAGGUUCGAGUCCUGUUGGGGGUA
rnacentral:tRNA from 1 species